rnacentral:misc_RNA from 1 species
GUGAAUCAUCAAAUCUUUGAACGCAAAUUGCACUCUCCUCGGAGAGUAUGCCUGUUUGAGGGUCAGCCUAUAAAAAACGACAUUGGUGGUUUUUCUCGGUGGCGUUCGGUGGGAAUUUGGUCAAUUUUAAUCCUUUUGGUUUUUAAGCGACUUAAAAUUUUCUUUUUGGUUCCAUGAACGUUUCUAAGAUCUAUUUCUUUACACUUUAAGGGUAUCGUUUUUUACUAAAGGUUACCAUCAUAU